AAGCUAAUACUUUUAGAGAUCAUUUUUGUAGUGUUUUAUUAACUAAUGAAAUGCAUUUCUAAAGUGUUUGGAUUCUCUGCCCACGAGGAGAAGUGAGAGUGUUUGUUUGUGAAUGGAAUGGAACAGAGAGAAUUUGUCAAUUUCUUGUUGUUGUUGUUGAUUAUUUCAGACUUCCUUAGGGGGCUGGAGGAAGUGGACACGUUCUGAGCGGG